AUACAGAGGGUGCGAGCGUUAAUCGGAAUUACUGGGCGUAAAGCGCGCGUAGGCGGCUAUAUAAGUCAGAUGUGAAAUCCCUGGGCUCAACCUAGGAACUGCAUUUGAAACUGUAUGGCUAGAGUAUGGUAGAGGUGAGUGGAAUUUCAGGUGUAGCGGUGAAAUGCGUAGAGAUCUGAAGGAACAUCAGUGGCGAAGGCGACUCACUGGGCCAUUACUGACGCUGAGGUGCGAAAGCGUGGGUAGCAAACAGGAUUAGAAACCCCAGUAGUCC
rnacentral:rRNA from 1 species